UAUCACUCAAGCAGUACUACCAUACUGGACCCCAAGAGGUUUAACCCCCUUUGAGCAAUUAUGCACGACCGCACAGCCGAUAAAACGCACCCUAUCACAAAUUUAUAAACUCAUCCAAACUAACGACAAUGCUCAGGAGACCCUAGCAUACCAACGUAAAUGGAUGAAGGAACUUCACAUACAUAUGACACACCAGGACUGGGCAUAUGUCUUCACAAAACCCAUGCACACUUCCAGUAGCCUAUCAAGACAAGAGUCCUUCUAUAAACGUAUCACUAGGUGGUAUAGAACUCUGGAGGUACUCCAUUUAUAUUGGCAAACAAUUAGUGAACAAUGCUGGAGAUGCGGGGGAGAAGUGGGCAGUAUGGGACAUCUGUGGUGGUUUUGUCCACUCUUGAGAACAUACUGGACAGAAGUGAUCUCCAAGAUCGAUGAGAUCUUAAAGAUACCACACUCCCUAACCCCCUCCCAAGUUCUGCUAGGAUGGCCUCACUCCUUUCAAUGUAUGAAGAGUCAGCGCCUACUAUGGCUCCUUCUGGGAGAAGCAAACAACCUUAUACCGGUCCACUGGAAGCAAAAUGUACCACCCACAGCCAAACAAUGGAUAGAAAGGGUAGAGCACAUGAGAGAAAUAGAAAUGCUACAUUGGUCCACAAUAGGCAAAUACACUACAUACCUAACCAUAUGGGAACCCUGGCUAAAACACUGGGCACUAGUACGGAAUAUACCACAAUAGACGGAACAGUAAUAACAAUAGAAGACACCUUGUACCUUCCCCUCCCACCCACUUCCCAUGUAUAUAAUACUUACCCGCUCUCCCCACCAUUCCCUACCCCAAGUUUCUCUGGUGACCCUAGUCACCAACCCUGCACCAAGGUCUCACGUAAUACAAAAUGAUGAGACAAUAUCAGCGGUACUAAUACGCAAAGAACAAUGGGAAUUGAUGUAUAUUUGUCUAUUUCGACACUGCUGUAUAAAAUGUAUGUACCACAACCACCUACCUUACCUUCCCUUCUUGCCUUCUGUAUCCCCGUUACACGUUGUGAAAUAACAAUAAAAC